rnacentral:lncRNA from 1 species
CCGACUCCUAACCGAAAUAAGCUGAAAAGUCUAGGCAUGCAGGCCCGACCAACUAACGAACUAAUAUGGGCACGUAGACCCGACCAGCUAAAAGAUAAAACGGGCGUGCAAGCCCUACCAAUUACGAAAUGAAAAUAAAUGGGGCAUAAAAACAUGUAAGACCCUGGUACAUUGGAUGUAUGGCAUUGACCAUCUAGACAAUGACAUUGAUCGUCCCCGCCAUUGGUCCAUUGUUGUCCCCAGUCCCUGAGGUAUUUGGCUAGUUAUGAUCAUUCCUCGAACGCUUAUCUUGACUGACAUAUGCCCCUAGUAAUCCUCUCUUGAUCAAAGACUCGAUCUUGCGCUGUAAGGCUUUGCAUGUCUCUGUGGUAUGUCCAUGGUCUUGAUGAAACUUACAAUAUUUGUUAAUGUUUUGGGGCUUAGAAGAGGACUUCAUCCUUGACGGCCAUUUGAGCUCCUUCAUAUCCUUGAUCUCCAUCAAAAUGUUAGAUCUUAUGGUAUUUAGGCGAGUAACGGCUACUGAAGGGUUAUCAUGCCUUGUCUUACCCUGAGGCUGAUCUUAAUGCAGAUUAAGCUCAUGCUGCCUUUUAAGCUCAGGCUUAGCUGAUGGUUGGGCAUCUCUCUUUGGAAACAUAGUCUCUUCCAUUUUGAUGUACUUCUCGGCUCGAGUAAGUAGGUCGGUUACUGACGUAGGAGGGGUCUUUGAUAGAGACAUCUUGAAUGCUUCACACCUUAUGGCAUGUGUUAAGGCCAAGACUGUAGCUAUGAUAUGGGGGUCCGGAAUCUGGAGUCUUUCCUUGUUGAAUCUGGUCAUGAAGUUGCGAAGGGAUUCAUUCUGCCCUUGUCGAAGUUGCAUGAGGGAAGCUGCUGUUUUCGUGCUGCGCUUGCUGCUGGCGAAGAAGGUGGAGAACUUGUCGGCUAGAUCUGAGAAAGAGGCUAUGGAGUUUGGCUCCAAAGUUGAAAACCAGU